rnacentral:rRNA from 1 species
GUCUAUGGCCACGCCACCCUGAACGCGCUGGUCCCACCUGACCUCGGAAGCUAAGCGGGGUCGGGCCUGGUUAGUACUGGGAUGGGAGACCACCUGGGAAGACCAGGUGCUGUGGGCG